CCUAGCGGAGGAAAAGAAACUAACAGGGAUUCCCUUAGUAAGGGCGACUGAACCGGGAAGAGCCCAGCGCAUAACCUGCCGUCCUAACCGGCGGCAGGGGUGUUGCGUUUCGGAGGGUCCGGCACCAUUCUCCCCGACGCCUAAGUCACGCUUGAAAGCGGCCACUGCCCAUGGAGGGUGACAGGCCCGUGUGGCGGCAACCCGUGAGGGUGACAUGGGGGGGAUGCGGAAAGGGCCUCUCUGUAGAGUCGGGUUGCUUGAGAGUGCAGCCCAAAGUAGGUGGUAAACUCCUUCUAA
rnacentral:rRNA from 1 species